AUGGCAUCAUCAAGUAACUCAAACAAUACCCAAUUUUAUCUUGUCUUAGCUCUGUAUGUGUGUAGUUUGACAAGAAUUGCCAUAAGGAGAUGUGGAGGUGUGACUGGACAAGUCAGCAAGCUGUGGUUCGUGGAUCUUGGUGGCAGCAAGCGGUUGCUCAAGAUUGGUGCAUCUGGGAUGACAAUGGAUGAGGGUAAGGCCAUAAACCUGUCUCUAUCAGCCCUUGGAGAUGUCGCUGCACUAAGGAGAAAGAGAAGCCAUGUUCCAUACAGAAAUAGAAAGCUUACCCAGAUUAUUAGUGAUUCUCUCGGUGAUGGCUCAAAAGUUGUGAUGGUAGUGCACAUCAGCCCUUCCUAGGACGACGUUGGCGAGACAAUUUGUUCGCUGGGCUUUGCGAAAAGAGCCAGCCUGAUAGAAUCCAGCCGAGAGCUUUCAGAGGACAUGAAAAUAUUAAAGCGGAAGCGGAUCAUGGAGCAUGACAAGGAAAUAUAUGACGCCAAGCAAGAGCUUUGGGUUCCGAAUGAACAAAUAAGGAGUGCUAUGAGGUCCGUGGAUGAGAGGAAGAAGCUCUAUCGGUUCGUCUGUCAGGCUCUAAGUGACGACGAGGGGUCGCCUAGAAGCAUUCUGGUGGCAGGGCACAUUGAUGCCGCGGACAUCCCUCAGGCAACUGAGGGCAAGAGCAGGAUGACCCAUCAUGGAUCAGUCCCUCACUUCAUGUCUGCAAUAGUGUGCAGCCGUUAGAGACACGACGCGGCAAGCCAUUCCAUCUGUAAACCGAGGUUGACAAAAUAAGUGAACACGUACUCAUCUAAGCCCAGUGGGAGCCUAUCGUUCAACCACUCGGCAUCCAAGGCUAGGUCAGUGGCAUUCUCAUCCGGUGAGCCUAGGCUGAAAUACUUGUCUGUCAAAUCUGAUCAGAUCAACGUAAGCAGUAACAACAUCGAUUCAACGGCAGCAUCGGCGCCUUGGCCUCGGCCAAGGGAGAGUCUUCUUUCCAGGCCGGUACGGAGAGCUCCCCUGCAUCAGCAAAGGAGAAGGAUGUCAUGCUUAACCUGA
rnacentral:rRNA from 1 species